rnacentral:tmRNA from 2 species
GGGGACGUUACGGAUUCGACAGGGAUGGAUCGAGCUUAGGUUGCGAGCCGAGAGGCGAUCUCGUUAACACGCAUAUAAAUAUAACUGGCAAAACUAAAAGUUUUAACCAAAACGUAGCACUAGCUGCCUAAUAAACGCAGCGAGCUCUUCCUGACAUUGCCUAUGUGUCUGUGAGGAGCACAUCCAAGUAGGCUACGCUUACGUACUAGUCUGGGUGCGUAAGAAGAGAUCAACAGACUAGCUCACCGCCGCGCCUUGUCGGCAGGCACGAGGAUGAGUGAACAAGCGAAUAUGCUGACUACGCUCGUAGACGCUUAAGUAAUCGAUGUUUCUGGACGUGGGUUCGACUCCCACCGUCUCCACCA